CCCGGUAGGUUUUCCGGGUGGGAGGAGUCGUCCAGGCGGGACAUAAAAGCCUGACGGACCAAGUUCCUCGUUCACUUCCUUCUCUGGUCUCUACGAGGUGGUGUGAGAACCAGGAACUAUUUCCCGCAAAGGUGGGACUUGUGAACACCACAUAGGUAAUUACAUUUUUAUUUUAUUUAGGGUUUUUAGUUGGUUCCAUAGUUGCUUAGCUACGCCUUGUUGCCGAUCAGCCAUUAAUUGGCUCUGUGGCUCGAGGAGCUCAGUGUUGCAGUGAUGAUUCUCUGAACUCUCUCUUACCGAAUCAGCCUUUGAAGAAAGUUCUUUACCAGAUUCUGAGUAUCAUGAGCUCCACCUAAUGCCCUGUGUAUUAAAUAUUCUGUUAAUGGUGAACAAUGAAAUGUGAAAUGAUCUUGACUAGAAGUGUUUCUCCUUAAGGUGGACCUAUGCCAAUUGAAGAUGAAUGAAGAACUUUACCCGGUUGGUCUGCCCUGCCCUCUCACUACACUAAAAGGAGCUGCAAAGUGCAGAGGUGGGGGUUUGAUGAAAAAGCUAAAGAGGCCACAUGGAGAAUCUUAAGAUAGCCACAUGUGGAUCCUUGAAGAGGAAAACAGCCGUUGAAGCCUCAUGUAACUGCUUCAACCGCACGCAGAGGCCAUUUUGUCACAGGUUCCUACCCGACUAUGGAAGUUGCUGCCUUUUCUCCAACAAAGGUGCUUGCCCAGGUACCUAGAGUUAAGAGAUGCUGCAUCUACUUACAACAAAGGGCUGCCUUUGGAAGGAACCUUCUAGAAGCGAGGUGACCUGGGUAUGUUAAACUUCAAAACAACCUGUGUAAAAUUACUUGGAGUGUGGAAGGAUGAUUCACAACCACAAGGACUUACAGUCUCUGGUCAUCUUGGUAAAACUUUGCAAAUUUGCCUUUGACUCCCUGUUGGCCCGCUACGACACUGAGAACCCUGGAACUAGCUUUCAGGUGUAAAGUGAUCUUCGGUUCCCUGAAGGAGGGUUCAGAUUGGACUGUUUUACCAUGUCUAUGACUGAAAAA